GACGAACCGUGCAAACGUUAUUCGGAAUCACUGGGCUUAAAGGGCGCGUAGGCGGGCCGCCAGGUCCGGGGGGAAAGCCUCCAGCUCAACUGGAGAAGUGCCUUGGAUACCGGCGGCCUCGAGGGAGGUAGGGGCGUGCGGAACUUCGGGUGGAGCGGUGAAAUGCGUAGAUAUCCGAAGGAACACCGGUGGCGAAAGCGGCGCGCUGGAUCUCUUCUGACGCUGAGGCGCGAAAGCCAGGGGAGCAAACGGG
rnacentral:rRNA from 1 species